CAGCCGCCGCGGUAAUUCAGAGGGUGCGAGCGUUAAUCGGAUUUACUGGGCGUAAAGCGUGCGUAGGCGGCUUUUUAAGUCGGAUGUGAAAUCCCUGAGCUUAACUUAGGAAUUGCAUUCGAUACUGGGAAGCUAGAGUAUGGGAGAGGAUGGUAGAAUUCCAGGUGUAGCGGUGAAAUGCGUAGAGAUCUGGAGGAAUACCGAUGGCGAAGGCAGCCAUCUGGCCUAAUACUGACGCUGAGGUACGAAAGCAUGGGGAGCAAACAGGAUUAGAUACCCUGGUAGUCCAUGCCGUAAACGAUGUCUACUAGCCGUUGGGGCCUUUGAGGCUUUAGUGGCGCACUAACGCGAUAAGUAGACCGCCUGGGGAGUACGGUCGCAAGACUAAAACUCAAAUGAAUUGACGGGGGCCGCACAAGCGGUGGAGCAUGUGGUUUAAUUCGAUGCAACGCGAAGAACCUUACCUGGUCUUGACAUAGUAAGAACUUUCCAGAGAUGGAUUGGUGCUUCGGGAACUUACAUACAGGUGCUGCAUGGCUGUCGUCAGCUCGUGUCGUGAGAUGUUGGGUUAAGUCCCGCAACGAGCGCAACCCUUUUCCUUAUUUGCCAGCGGGUUAAGCCGGGAACUUUAAGGAUACUGCCAGUGACAAACUGGAGGAAGGCGGGGACGACGUCAAGUCAUCAUGGCCCUUACGACCAGGGCUACACACGUGCUACAAUGGUCGGUACAAAGGGUUGCUACCUAGCGAUAGGAUGCUAAUCUCAAAAAGCCGAUCGUAGUCCGGAUUGGAGUCUGCAACUCGACUCCAUGAAGUCGAAUCGCUAGUAAUCGCGAUCAGAAUGACGCAC
rnacentral:rRNA from 1 species